rnacentral:lncRNA from 1 species
UGCUUUGGCAAAGCUGGUUCACAAUAUACUUUUAGUUUAACACUGCAGUUCAUUUGUUUUUAAUUUCUUUUCUUUUUCUCCUUGUAGCUGCAGAAGCAGAAUAGGAAUUGCUUCAGUGGGAUGAAGAAAUUAUUUCAGUUUGGAAUCCAGGAAUAAAUGAAACAAAGUUGUUGUCAAACCACUGUAAGCAGCACACAAAUAAAAGUCAAGCAAAGAAAUUGUGUUGGAUUCAGGAAAGGAGUAGGACACCUGAAACAUCACUGCCUAGAGUGGAACUCCUGGCAGCAUCCAGUCUUCACUGGAGGAAAGACAAGGCCGGUCUUAGAAACAGGGAUGGAGAGUCCCUGAUGGUACUGUUGGGCUCCUGCUAUUCUCUCAGAGGCCACACAUUUCGAAUUGUGUCUCGUGCGAUAGCCCAGGAACAGACACCGCCCUACUGGUAAGCUUCUUGUGGUAGGUUUGCGUGCAGCGGCGGGCAAGGAGACCCCAGUCUCAUCAGAGGUCUUGUGGUAACUUGGGAACACAGAUGUGAAGCAAUGGUAGGAUUUUUUUUUGAGGGCAAACAGGC